rnacentral:tRNA from 1 species
GGGCCCAUAGCUCAGCUGGUUAGAGCAGCUGACUCAUAAUCAGCGGGUCUCAGGUUCGAAUCCUGAUGGGCCCA